rnacentral:rRNA from 1 species
UACGGAAGGUCCGGGCGUUAUCCGGAUUUAUUGGGUUUAAAGGGAGCGUAGGCGGGAGGCUAAGCGUGCUGUGAAAUCCGGCGGCUCAACCGUCGCGAGCAGCGCGAACUGGCUUUCUUGAGUGCGCGGGAGGCAGGCGGAAUUCGUGGUGUAGCGGUGAAAUGCUUAGAUAUCACGAAGAACCCCGAUUGCGAAGGCAGCCUGCCGUAGCGUUACUGACGCUGAAGCUCGAAGGUGCGGGUAUCGAACA